rnacentral:rRNA from 1 species
CCUACGGGCGCAGCAGUGGGGAAUAUUGGACAAUGGGCGAAAGCCUGAUCCAGCCAUGCCGCGUGUGUGAAGAAGGCCUUCGGGUUGUAAAGCACUUUCAGUGGGGAAGAAAGCCUUGGGGCUAAUACCCUCGAGGAAGGACAUCACCCACAGAAGAAGCACCGGCUAACUCCGUGCCAGCAGCCGCGGUAAUACGGAGGGUGCGAGCGUUAAUCGGAAUUACUGGGCGUAAAGCGCGCGUAGGCGGUCUGAUAAGCCGGUUGUGAAAGCCCCGGGCUCAACCUGGGAACGGCAUCCGGAACUGUCAGGCUAGAGUGCAGGAGAGGAAGGUAGAAUUCCCGGUGUAGCGGUGAAAUGCGUAGAGAUCGGGAGGAAUACCAGUGGCGAAGGCGGCCUUCUGGACUGACACUGACGCUGAGGUGCGAAAGCGUGGGUAGCAAACAGGAUUAGAUACCCCAGUAGUC